rnacentral:lncRNA from 1 species
CAGAUAGCGAGACUUACUACCUGUUCAAAGAAUGUGAAGAGGGAAAAAGAGUUGAGGUUUCCAUAGUAACCUUUAGUAGUUCAAAGUAAAAUUGCAUAAAAUGAAAUCAUUAUCACUCAGCAACUAAGGAAGACAGCUCAGCUGAUGAAGAUGCCAAGUUGUAAAUGACUACCGGCAUCAAAAUACAACUAAAAUUUAUGAGACAAAAUUGGAUAAAAGCAAAAAAAGACUUGGGUGCUCAUAGCAGGUUUUCCUUGCUGUCACCACAGCUAUGUCAAACCAAAACAAACACCAUCUACAAGAUGACAUUUGAAAUGGGAUUUUUUUUUUCAGUGCUUGACAUGAAUUGGAGGAAUAAGAAUACCGUUCCUCUUAAAGCUUCAGACGUAAUGCAUUGAUCUUUGUCACCUUUUCUACAGCUGAAUAUUUCCCUACACAUAGAAGAGUCUCACAGGAACUGAUGCAACUGUUUUCAGCUAAGUAUAGUUUAUGUUAUGCCAUGAAAAACAAGGUCUACCACUCUAUGAGUAACUUUACAC